GGGGGACCCCAAAAAAGAGGGAAGGGACCCCAAAAAGGAGGGGAGGAACAUCAAAAAUAGAGCGGGAACCCCAAAAAUAGAGAGGGAACCCCAAAACCGACCCCCCCUCCCCCUCCCCCCCUUUUCCUUCCUCUUCUCCCCCGGGGCCGCCCCUCCCCCACUCCCAGUGCUCCCAGUAAACCCAGUGUCGAUUCCCAGUGCUCCCAGUGCUCCCAGUAUCGAUUCCCAGUGCUCCCAGUAAACCCAGUAUCGAUUCCCAGUGCUCCCAGUAAACCCAGUAUCGAUUCCCAGUGCUCCCAGUAAACCCAGUAUCGAUUCCCAGUUACCCCAGUCCCACUUCUCAGUAUUCCCGGUUCUCCCAGUGCUCCCAGUCCCAGUUCCCAGGGCUCCCAGUACCCCUAAUCCCAGUUCCCAGUAUUCCCAGUGCUCCCAGUCCCAGUUCCCGGCUCUCCCAGCGCUCCCAGUAUCAAUUCCCGGUGCUCCCAGUGCUCCCAGUACAGAUUCCCAGUGCUCCCAGUACCCCUAAUCCCAGUUCCCAGUGCUCCCAGUGCUCCCAGUUCCAAUUCCCAGUGCUCCCAGUGCUCCCAGUACCCCUAAUCCCAGUUCCGAUUCCCAGUGCUCCCAGUCCCAAUUCCCAGUGCUCCCAGUACCCCUAAUCCCAGGUCCCAGUAUUCCCAGUGCUCCCAGUUCCGGAUCCCAGCGCUCCCAGUGCCACUUCCCGGUUUUCCCGGCGCUCCCAGUUCCGGAUCCCGGCGCUCCCAGCGCCGCUCCCAGUUCCCGCAGCCCCCGGUUCCAGUUCUCCCAGUGCUCCCAGUAUCGAUUCCCAGCUCUCCCAGUUGCUCCCAGUACCCGUUACCGGCGCCGCCCGCUGCCCCCGGCGCCCGUUACCGGCACCCCCGGGACCGCCCGCCGCCCGUUACCGGCUCUCCCAGUUCAUCCCAAUCCCUCCCAGGGCUCCCAGUUCAUCCCAGAGCUCCCAGUUCCGCCCGGUGCUCCCAGUACCGACCCCCAGGUCCCCCGGUGCCGCUCCCCGGUUCCCGU
rnacentral:lncRNA from 1 species